AGUUGAUUACGACACAAUGACAUAAGAGGAUUUAGCUAGCGAUUAAUAAAAUGCUAUUUCACAAUAUACACUGCUCGAAUAUUAGAAUGCGCGAGUCAACCGGCUUGCUGUCUAAACACGUCGGUAAUCGUUAUACGCACCCAUUCUUUGACAAAUGCGUUUAUCAGGAAGGCCAUUUUUACAAGGCAAUGGCAUCCAGAUUUUCUUGAGCGGGUUUUGAGUUAGUUCCCGCGGCGUUGCAGCGUUUGAUGGUCUUGCUUCCAUUCCGACUGCCACGGAGGACAUGGUGGCCUCUGCUACUGUGGCGCGGAGCCUUUCUUCUAUUGGAGCGUUACAGGAGAUCUGUCUCGCAUCAGUGCUGUUUGAUGAGGUCUGCUGGUGGUUGGCAUAAUGGACUGAGGAACCAUUAUGAGUUCAACAAGGCCAACAACUGCUUCAUGUGUGACACUGAUAAAGAACCUGGAUGUGGCCCAAAGACUGACUGGGAAUGAAGACAAGAGUUCAGAGUGAAUAACACAAACUGGAAGUGAUGUCUUUGUUGUUGAAAAUGUAUGCUAUACCCCAUCCAAACUGAAGAGGCUCUGAAAUGUACAUCAACCAGGGAUAAAGAGAAAGUGAACACUGAAAUGUUUUGUACUUAUUUGAAGUAAAGUGUCUGACAUAUUGUAGACUUUUAAUCUUUUCCAACUUCUGUUUAAUUUGUCAAUAUCCCAUUUUUCUUCAUUGAUUUUCUGGCCACCAUUACUGCGGUUGCAUGUUCAGUAUUUGUAUUGACCAGUAAACCCACCUUACUCUCCAUCCCGGCUUUGGAGAAAUUAAUAAAACAUGACUCUCGUACUUUGCCCUUUAUGGUUGAUAUUAA